GUCUCAGUUCGGAUUGAAGGCUGAAAUUCGCCUACAUGAAGCUGGAAUUGCUAGUAAUCAUAGGUCAGCAUACUAUGGUGAAUACGUUCCCGGGCCUUGUACACACCGCCCGUCACACCAUGAGAGUUGAGAAUACCCGAAGUCCAUGUCAAAGUGGCCGAAGGUAGGCUUGAUGAUUGGGGUGAAGUCGUAACAAGGUAAC
rnacentral:rRNA from 1 species